rnacentral:pre_miRNA from 1 species
UAGAUUUGUCCUAAGUCAAACUGAUGUCAGUUAGACAAGUUUGUAUAAAAAUAUACAAACAUUUAUAAUAUCAAAUAAAUACAGCAUGAACACAUAUUACUUGAUGGAGACGAUGAAACAAAUUUGGUGCUGCAAAUCUUGGUAUAUUUUUCUAGAAAGUUGGUCAAACUUAGAAACGUUUGACUUGGACAAAUUUAA